AGCGGGGAGGAAGGGAGUAAAGUUAAUACCUUUGCUCAUUGACGUUACCCGCAGAAGAAGCACCGGCUAACUCCGUGCCAGCAGCCGCGGUAAUACGGAGGGUGCAAGCGUUAAUCGGAAUUACUGGGCGUAAAGCGCACGCAGGCGGUUUGUUAAGUCAGAUGUGAAAUCCCCGGGCUCAACCUGGGAACUGCAUCUGAUACUGGCAAGCUUGAGUCUCGUAGAGGGGGGUAGAAUUCCAGGUGUAGCGGUGAAAUGCGUAGAGAUCUGGAGGAAUACCGGUGGCGAAGGCGGCCCCCUGGACGAAGACUGACGCUCAGGUGCGAAAGCGUGGGGAGCAAACAGGAUU
rnacentral:rRNA from 1 species